rnacentral:lncRNA from 1 species
GCAAGGUUAAACGUUGAUUCCUUUUCCUCUCAUAGCUAGCGUUCCCUGACUCCCAGACUGAGUCCCACUUGACUUGUUUAUUCCUAUUCUGCUUUGACUUUGUUGCUUCUCUUUAAUCUCUUCAUCACAGGAUUGACAGAGGAACAGAGAAAGUAUCAAGAUCAAACACAUCAAACAGAAGACUGACUUACAUAUGGAAGAAUCCAACUUAGUCCAGCUGUACAAAAUGCUACAUAUACCCGAAGGAAGACAUAUCAGAGGUUGAAAACUGCAUUACUCCAUCACAGAAAAGCAAUGUUGCAGAUUGACAUGAAAGUUUCUGAACCCAGGACCAAAGUUCUGAUAACAGUCUGCCUUUAUGAAAAGGAGAAAUCUUUGAACAUUUAAAAAAG